UCCUCUCCUUUGUGUUUUACACUUUAGAAAAAAAAAUCAGAAAACUCUCUCUAGCCUAGCCGUGAGUUCUACCACCCUCUAGUCAUCUCCACGAGUUCAAGCAAGGCCAAAGGAAGAAGAAGAAUUGCCGUGAGCAUCAUCCUCCAUCACCAUCCUUGACGCUUGCUUUCGAGAUUCAAGAGACCACCUCCUCAAUUUGUUCAUCUCAUCUUCAUCCACGGUGUAAUCUGAUUCUCCUUUGUAACCUUUGCUUUGAAUUUCGUUGGUUAUGAACUAGUUGACAUAUAUGUAUGAACAAAAUUCAUAUAUUGCGAUUUAUGGUUGCUUUUGUGUGAGUGUUUGAUUAAAUUUGCAUGAUAGAUAACUUUUGUAUUUUAAUCUUAUGUGGUUGCAAACACUUAGGGUUUUGAUAUAAUUGGUGCUAGGUUUAAGAACAUGAAUUCGACUUUUCGUUUUGUGUAAACUUGAAUCAAAGUAGUAAAGGUUUUGGACAAAGAUCGAAUUUAACCAAAGAGAAUUGCAAUUAGGUGGACUUUUUCAUACUAAGUUGCACACUUGAGUUGAUAGCCUUUCUAGGUGCUUAUUGCGUCGAAUAUGUUGUGUUUGACUAGCUUUCUAGGGCUUGCAUGCAUGUUUGAUAGGAUUAGUCUUUGUGCUUUCACUUAGAUUAAUUAGCAUUGAAAAGUAAAAUAUGGGAAAUUGUUUGCUUUUAACGUUUC
rnacentral:lncRNA from 1 species